rnacentral:rRNA from 1 species
AAGGAGUUUGAUCCUGGCUCAGAUUGAACGCUGGCGGUAUGCUUAACACAUGCAAGUCGAACGGUAACAGCAGAGCUUGCUCUGGCUGACGAGUGGCGGACGGGUGCGUAACGCGUGGGAAUCUACCUUGUAGUGGGGGAUAGCCCGGAGAAAUCCGGAUUAACACCGCAUAAUCUCUACGGAGGAAAAGGGGCCUCUUCUUGAAAGCUCCUGCUAUUAGAUGAGCCCGCGUUGGAUUAGCUUGUUGGUAGGGUAAUGGCCUACCAAGGCGACAAUCCAUAGCUGGUUUGAGAGGAUGAUCAGCCACACUGGGACUGAGACACGGCCCAGACUCCUACGGGAGGCAGCAGUGGGGAAUAUUGGACAAUGGGCGAAAGCCUGAUCCAGCAAUACCGCGUGUGUGAAGAAGGCCUGAGGGUUGUAAAGCACUUUCAAUAGAGACGAAAAGCUUAAGGAUAAUACCCUUGAGUCUUGACUUAACCUAUAGAAGAAGCACCGGCUAACUAAGUGCCAGCAGCCGCGGUAAUACUUAGGGUGCAAGCGUUAAUCGGAAUUACUGGGCGUAAAGCGCUCGUAGGCGGCUUGUAAAGUCGGAUGUGAAAUCCCCGGGCUCAACCUGGGAACUGCAUUCGAUACUGGCAAGCUAGAGUAUAGUAGAGGCAAGUGGAAUUCCGGGUGUAGCGGUGAAAUGCGUAGAUA